rnacentral:misc_RNA from 1 species
GGCUCGGUUUACAUUUAUCAUACAACAAGAAUUUGACACAACUACAAUUGACUUAAUAUAUACAACAACAUUAUGCUCACGUACUGAAGAAAAUAGUCAACAUCAUGCCUAUAAACAGAAUUUGGCCACUAUGAACAGAAUUUAGUGACUAGCUUCAGUAUCCCAUCACUCUCUACCGACAACACCAGCUUCUUUCACCAGCUGCUCAGUCAAAGCUGACAAUCGAGCAACACCUGUUCUAACCUCCUUCAAACUUUCAUUGUUCUCAAAUGUGCCUAUCUGAUAAUCAGGGCCAUUUUGUGUGAACGUAUCAACAUCGGUAUCAGCAUCAAUGCUCAGACUAGCUUUAUUCAGAAGUUCUCGACUCAUCCCAGCAAGCUUCUGCAGAGCAAUGGUUGCAGCUUCAACUUCCAGUUGAGCUGCCUCAAGUUGUAGCUUCUCGAUAGCCAGGUCCCCAAUACUUUUCUCACCAAUUCUCUCUUGUGCCAAAGAAUAAAGCUUUUUCAGAUCAUUAGCAUCUGUUACCAUUUCGUCCUUGAGUCCUUUUAGUUCCCUUUCCCUGGAAUCUAAUCUCUCAAUAACUGCUUUGAGCUCCUCAUCUUUGAUUGUGAGAGCCCUCUGUGUAGCUAGGAGUUCCAUUUCUUUCAUUCUUAAGCUCUCUCUGGUCAGCCUGAGCUCACUUUCAAGCUGUUUCUUCUGCAAACUAAAAUCAUCACUUGACUUGUCCAAUGGUUGUCGAAUGAGUUCCAAGCCCAUGCUCUCAGAUUGCCCAAAUGCAUUAUAGUCUUCAUCCUUGACGGUAAUAACCAGUUUGUUUGUAAGCUCUACAAUCCGUUCCACUACAGUUUCAGCUUCAGAGAUUUUCAUCCUUGUGUCAUUCAGCUCAUCUUGCAUCAUGUGAACAUGCUCCUCUUUCUCCUUUAGCAUAUUUGUGGCUUGAAUUAGUUGGUCUUCUUUACUGCUCAAAAGCAUCUUUAGCUCAGCAACCUCCCGGUCUACUUCCUCCAGCUUCUUCUUUGCAUUAAAGAGUAGCAAAUCUUUCUCCUCCAAGAGAAGCUGAAGAGAAGACUGCUCAGAUUUCAAAUGCUGAAUUUCUAGCUUAGCCUCCACCAAUUCUGAUUCUUUAAACUGAAGAAUACCAUGAAUUUCCCCCAAUUCAGUAUUUUUUUCCUCUAGUUCCUGCUGUAAAGAAGACAUCUCCUUCAUUGCCUGCUUCAAAGAAGAUUUCUCCUUCUUCAACUGCUCAUGUAACUCUUUCAUGAGCUCCUUCUCCAAGGAUAAGUCUUGUUCAAGCUCCUUGUUUCGAGACUCUGCAACCCUAAGUUUUACUCUCUCACUCUCAACUUCUAUUUGGGCAUCUUUCAAACUAGUCAUGUAAGAUAUUACACUCUUCCUCUCCUCUUCAAGUUCCACUAGCUGCUUUUUUAAUAGCUGCUCCUGUUCUUCCAUUCGCUUUCUGGAGGAUGCCAGAGAUUUCUGUGAAGAAACCAGCUCAGAUCUCACAUCAACUAGAAGCUUUUUCACUCUUAUGAAAUCCUUCACAGUUUCAUUAGCUUCUACCAUAUGUUUAGAUGUUUCAUCUGCCAACUUCUUCA